GCACAAUUAAUCACAAUAUAAUGGGAUCAGGGGAUGUUAGAGGCUCAUUCAGCACGGCAGAUGAUGAGUACUGACUCUUCCAAGAAAUGAGGCUCUUUAAUCACUCCCAGAUUAACAGCUACAUGCUUUCAAAUUUCAAUCACAGGGAACUGGCAGUGUGGAAUGAAAAGGGCCCACUCCAGGAGGAAGGAAGAAAGCAGGAGGAUUCCUCACCCAUGAGAGCCCCAUUGUUUGUGAUCUCAGAAACAGGCGCACACCUUUCCUGGGAAAGCAGAGGGUCUAAACUAUGCUGCCUUCCUAAAAGUUCUCCCUUCCAGUCUUUACUCAGCAAACAAACUUACAGCAUCUCUCACCGGCUAAAGGACAAGGAAUAAGAUCAGCUGGCCAACUCCAAAAUUGCUGUUCAGAGGUGAAUGUCAUUGACACUGUACAGCCGACUGCUGGGGUUCAUCAACACAGGAAGGAAAUACUGAAUAUUGUUCCAAGCUUCAAACCAGAGGGUAGGUAAAACCAACAGUUACUAUCUGAGUUAAGGGCUAUCAUAGAGAAAAUCUGAAUUUUUCAGGUUGAGAUUCUGUGUCAGAACUGAUCAGCAAGAAGAACUACUGAAGACGGUUUUUUCCCCCCUCCGUAUAAGAGCUUUUAACUCCCUCUAUAUCAAAAGAUAUUUUCCAGGAGUGUUAUGACGUUGCACGGUUCCUUCCUAAGAAAUUCUCCCAGUAAUCUUUGUCCAUGGGAUAUGCAAUAUUAGACUUUCAAACAAAUCAAGACAGAGCCUAC
ensembl:lncRNA